UACCUAGUUGGUGAGGUAAAGGCUUACCAAGGCGACGAUCUGUAGCGGGUCUGAGAGGAUGAUCCGCCACACUGGAACUGAGACACGGUCCAGACUCCUACGGGAGGCAGCAGUGGGGAAUUUUGGACAAUGGGGGCAACCCUGAUCCAGCCAUGCCGCGUGAGUGAAGAAGGCCUUCGGGUUGUAAGGCUCUCGGCCGGGAAGAAAUCGCAUGGGCCAAUACCCUGUGUGGAUGACGGUACCGGAAUAAGAAGCACCGGCUAACUACGUGCCAGCAGCCGCGGUAAUACGUAGGGUGCGAGCGUUAAUCGGAAUUACUGGGCGUAAAGCGUGCGCAGGCGGUUUUGUAAGACAGGCGUGAAAUCCCCGGGCUUAACCUGGGAACUGCGUUUGUGACUGCAAGGCUAGAGUACGGCAGAGGGGGGUGGAAUUCCACGUGUAGCAGUGAAAUGCGUAGAGAUGUGGAGGAACACCAAUGGCGAAGGCAGCCCCCUGGGUCGAUACUGACGCUCAUGCACGAAAGCGUGGGUAGCAAACAGGAUUAGAUACCCUGGUAGUCCACGCCCUAAACUAUGUCAACUAGGUGUUGGGUGGGUAAAACCAUUUAGUACCGUAGCUAACGCGUGAAGUUGACCGCCUGGGGAGUACGGCCGCAAGGUUAAAACUCAAAGGAAUUGACGGGGACCCGCACAAGCGGUGGAUGAUGUGGAUUAAUUCGAUGCAACGCGAAAAACCUUACCUACCCUUGACAUGCCAGGAACUUGCCAGAGAUGGCUUGGUGCCCGAAAGGGAGCCUGGACACAGGUGCUGCAUGGCUGUCGUCAGCUCGUGUCGUGAGAUGUUGGGUUAAGUCCCGCAACGAGCGCAACCCUUGUCGUUAAUUGCCAUCAUUUAGUUGGGCACUUUAACGAGACUGCCGGUGACAAACCGGAGGAAGGUGGGGAUGACGUCAAGUCCUCAUGGCCCUUAUGGGUAGGGCUUCACACGUCAUACAAUGGUCGGUACAAAGGGUUGCCAAGCCGCGAGGCGGAGCCAAUCCCAGAAAGCCGAUCGUAGUCCGGAUUGCAGGCUGCAACUCGCCUGCAUGAAGUCGGAAUCGCUAGUAAUCGUGGAUCAGCAUGUCACGGUGAAUACGUUCCCGGGUCUUGUACACACCGCCCGUCACACCAUGGGAGCGGGUUCCGCCAGAAGUAGGUAGCCUAACCGCAAGGGGGGCGCUUACCACGGCGGGGUUCGUGACUGGGGUGAAGUCGUAACAAGGUAGCCGUAGGGGAACCUGCGGCUG
rnacentral:rRNA from 1 species